ACACCACUCAAGCCUAGCUUGGUAUUGGGCGUCGGGGACCUCCCCGCGCCUCCAUAUCGCCGGCUGGCCGUCGUCUGACUUAGCGUUGUGACACAUGUCGCUGAAGAAGACGCCGGAUCACGCCGUUAAACCCCUUGAAUGUUCAUCGAACAUUCAGUAAA
rnacentral:misc_RNA from 1 species